UCUAAGGAUGAACCUCCAGAUCCUCACGAUCUAUUGGUUCGUUCAAAGACACUAUCCAAGUGCGGGACGCCGCCGUCUUCGUUUCUCUUUCCUUUCGCCCCCGCCGACCAGGCGGCCGGGCGUGAUCGCGAGCCCAGGGCGCUCCUAGCCCUUGACGGACCGCAUAGGCCCGUAGCUCAGGUGGUUAGAGCGUACGCCUGAUAAGCGUAAGGUCGGCAGUUCGAGUCUGCCCGGGCCUACCAUCUUCGGACGGGUCGGCCGCUCCCAAUGGGGCCAUAGCUCAGUUGGUAGAGCGCGUGCUUUGCAAGCAUGAGGUCGUCGGUUCGAUCCCGUCUGGCUCCACCAGGCGCUCAGCGAUCAGGAAAGCAAAAGUUUCGGGCCGCGCGGCAAGCGCAGCUCGAUUGACAUCGUGAAUGAAGGGUCGACCCGGCUCCCCCUGGAGCUUGGAGGGUGGACUUGAAAUGACAUCAUCUAAAGACAAAGCGCAUGUGUGGGCGCACGUCCGGCGUUUCGAACCGCCGGCGGGCAAACCGUCCCCACGCAUGAGUUUUGCUGAGAACGAUCAAGCGCAUAAGGGCUUCUGAAGGAUGCCUUGGCGUCGAGAGGCGAUGAAGGACGUGGCACGCUGCGAUAAGCUCCGGGGAGGUGCGAGCACCCCUUGAUCCGGAGAUCUCCGAAUGGGGAAACCCGG
rnacentral:misc_RNA from 1 species